UGAACAGCUGACAAAACUUGAAAAACAGCAACAAAGAAAAGAGAAGACCAGAACCAAGGUGCCCUCUGAGUCAAGUAGAGAAAGAAAUGCCCCCCGUAACAAGGAUGACCCCAGCGCAAGCAGUGGAGCAGAAGGAGAUGUGUCUUCAGAAAGAGAGCCUUAGCUCAUCCAAAGCAGGCCUCAGUUCCUCAUACAAAAGCUACACUGGAUUCUUGAAGAGAGACCCAACAUUCACCUCAGCACCACUCUUCAACGACUUUGGAAAAGAAUGGAAAAUGGGAAAACAGAACUAAGACAUUCGAAACCUAUAUCAUUCUGUAUUGAAACAACCAAAGCAAUGCUAUCAGAUUCAGUUGUUAAUGUGUAGUAUCAGUAGUAAAAAGGACUUGUAACAUUUUUGUGUAUGUGUUUUCACAUGACUGCUGAAUAAAGGGUGACUGUAGGCAGAUUGUAGCAGAACAUUCACUAUCAGUACAUAAGCUCCAUUUCAAAGAUAAAUCAGGGUUUUUCCUUAAACUUACACUUGAAUUCUGAAAAUUAUCCAAGCAGGCUUGUAUUUUGAUUCUUACUCUAUGGUGUCAUGUGCUACCUGUUUCCAUGGCAGCGUGUAGAUCUGUGUGUAUUUUGGUAUAUUGUUCAGCUGCUACGUAACACCAAGUUAAGCAGUCCAGUCUUUCUGCAUGGAUUAAGUUAUUAAAAGGAAAGAUCAGCCACUAGUUGUUUAUCAUGUGGAACACAUCUGUCUUGUAAACUUUUUUAAAAACAGAAAAGACUUUAUUAAACAAAUGAUGCUAGCUGA